GGAGCCGCCGAGCUAUCACUGGUCGCUGGGCAAAGUGUGCCUUAAAACCCCCCAUGGCCGUGAAAAGUCACCUACGAAUGAGCAGCGCAUUGUCCGGAGCUCCUAGCGGGUGACUGGGACGUUGACAGCCGGAACAGGUGCGGUUUGUCCCGGGCAGAUGAGCAGCGAGGAGCGGCAGGUGUUAGCCGAGCAGCUAGCGGGGGAUAGCUAGCCAGCCGGGGAGUCUGAGCAGUCUGUGACCGGGGAGAGCAGCCGGCGGACCCGCGGGUUAAAAAUGACAGCUCCGGUGACUUGGUGCUUUCCGUUCGCGGUGCUCAGGCUCAGUUGGUGCUGUCCUCUGCAUGCUGCCACCACAUUCUGGGCUGGUUCUGGAUCCGACGGAGUCUCGCGAUGUUAAUGACGUUAACAUCAGCGACAAUAAAGUGUUCAAAUUUGAAAUUAAAUCUGCGGAUCCGUGGAAAAUUGCCAUCCCUGAAACUUGGAUUUGGAGGUCAGUAGCCCAAAUCAAAAUAUUUGGGCCCCUAACCAGCGUGUUUUUUGUCAUUUUUAGUCGCCAAAAUCGGUUUUUAGUCGCAAAUGGCGACCUGGCGACCGUCUAAAUCGAGCGCUGCAAUCCACGGUGGAGUACAACCAGAGAAUGGAAACAAAGCCGUCUGAUAGCGCCGUGUGACGACGUAUUCAUCUGCUCUGCUCAUCAACUAGUUCCAUGUAACUAGUUCUGACGACAAAACGCUGUAGGUCAAUAACAUAAACCGAGGACCUCCUGUACUAUCAAUGCCUAACAAAUUCAUAUUUUUGCUGACUUUAAUUGACAUUCAAUGACUAUAUUUUCAGCAUAUAAGCAACUCUACUUGAUCUCCUGGAGCAGUUAGGUCUGGGACUGAAUAGUUAAGCAAGUAUUGAAGUGCUAAAACCUGCAGUUCCUCCAAUGACCACUUGAGGCUGGCCUUUUAAAGGAAUUUGCAUAGACUCCCAUGUUCAAAAAUCCAACUUUACAGCCUGGAACAAAGACAGUUUUGAUCUCUACAGCUACAUCUCUACAUGAGGUAAAUUUUUAUGUAAUUUUUUUUAGAACUCAGUUAAAUUAUAAAACGGAACGCUAUCGCAAGUCAUUCAUUCCAUCUGCCAUAAGACUUUAGAACACCAGCAUCACUGGCUGAUGUUUACACAAAAAUGGACUGUUUCACACAAUCCCUUACUACAUAAUAUGCACAGUUCUCUCGUACUUCACAUCAUUCCAUAAGCCACCUUUCCCUUCCUACACUCCUGGGCAUAUUGUGGUUGUUAUUAUGAUUAACAUUAUAUUGUUGUUUAUUGUUCCUAUUGUUGUAUGAUGUAUGCUGCUGUAACAUGGGAAAUUUCCCUGGAAACGGGGAGUAAUAAAGGAUUGUCUUAUCUUAUCUUAAAAGCGCCGAUGGUUUUGCAUAAUUAAGGGUGUGAGUGGCAGGUCCGUAGGGACACUGUAGCGUUGCUGGAGUGUUUCACUAUACAGCCCAUGUACAUUUUCAAGCUCCACAGCAUUCAUUCAUCACUAAAGUGUGUGUCAAGCAAGAGAACCAAAUAAAAACAAACGGUCAGUGUUGCUGCAUUGACAUUUAAAGUGUGUUGACUGAUUCACACCACCCACUCCUAGCCUGAGCAACAUGCAAGAAAGCAUUUCACCUUUAAAGUCGCUGCUGGUCGAGUCUGAGCAGCACAGUUAAAUUAGCUUUUGUCUCUUGUCUGUAUGUGAACCAGAAAAAAUGAAAAAGCCGCAAAACAUCCUUUCAUGUUUUGCUGCUUUUUAAAACAUCCAAGUCCAGUUGAUUUCUACUGAAGCUCCUAUGAUGAGCUUAAAAGUUAGUAUUAGCAAAUACAAUAGAAUAACUUCAAACCUUGUUGGCGCUCUUGUUUAUGCCUCAUUCAUCAUUAUUAAUGCUGAAGUCUAUCACUGUUGGGAUCUAUUGUUUGUUUGUACCAGGCUGUAAACAUGUUUAUUUCUACUCUAAAGUUGGGCUUUUUGACAUGGGGGUCGAUGGAGGUUGACUCACUUUUGGAGGCAGUCUCGAGUGGUCAUUUGAGGAACUGCAGUUUUUGGGACUCAAGCAUUAUUACUGUCACUUUUCAGCAUUGGAGGUCUCUCCUUCAUGUUGUCACAGGACUCUCCAUGGCCAAGAGAUGUUUUUGUAGCCCACCUCGCUCUGCCUCUUUGCUAAUCUUUGGAUUAGCCAGGAGUUCAUGCCAGAGCUACCACACUGAGAUUUAAAACUGCUCAUCAAUAAACCGACUGAUAUACAGCUAGUGAUCAUCCUCUUCAGUACCUCAAUCCACUGUGUGUUGUGACUUUUCAUAAUUCCUUCUUUCACUUGAAAUCAGGCCUUAGAGAAAACAAAGAACCACUGCAGAUCCAGCAGCUCGUCUGGAUUAUCUGCCUCUCUGUGUGUUCAGGGUCCUGGAGGACGUUAAAACACAAGCGGCGAAAAUGACUGAAAAGCAGUCAAAUCAAAACACAACCUUAAUUAUGUGUUUGUUCUGAUGGAAAUGCACAGAGGCCCCUCCACGUCCCAUCAGCGCCACCAGCAAACUACCACAGAGGAAAACUAAAGCGACGCUUCCAGGCACUGAUUGCUCGUCAAGAAAAAACUGAAGGCAAUCAGCGGCGUCCGCCUCGUUCCGCUAAUCAGUCCACGGGCAUGUGGGUUUGUGCAAAAAGCAAAAAACAACAACAGAGAGCAGAGACAGAAUCACAAUUAUCAGUUUUUAUAUAAUGCGGUAACAGCUGUCAGUGUUCAGAGCAGGGGAAGGCUGUUUGUUUUAAGUAGAAAUAAUGACGAUGCCCCAAGGUCUCUGACUUCCAUCUUGAGCGUUAUGCAACUCCAGCUCUGACUGGGAUUGGGAGACGUUUGAUUCACAGAGUCCUGCAUUACAUAAUUCAAGUGCAGAAUGGAGACUUUCAUGUAUAUUUCAGAGAAUAUCCAUUAUUUACCAAAGGAACUUGGCUUUCUCUCCCCCUCUUUUUCUGAUGCGGCUCCUUUGGAGUUAAUGAGGAGAGCGUCUUCUUGUGUGGAAUCUCCCCGUGGCUUUGCUGCAGCGUUAUUGUGUGUGAAAACAAAAUCAGCUGUUGUCAGAAGAUCAUGCUGUUUCCUCCGUGAACAUCUAAUCAACAGUGCAGACACGUCGGGAUGAAAAAACUCCAAACGUUUCACGCAUGACUUCAAACAGUGUGAGAGAGCGACCGGGUUCCCAUGGGGCCGACGCCACUGAAUUAAACUCAGAGCCAUGAAAGAGUGAAGCGGACAAGAGACUGCAAAACGCCUUUGAGGGAGGAAGUUGCUUACCAAUUACGAGGCUAAAGUCAGAGAUUACAGCGAGGAAAGGCGUCUGUGAACUGUAACAAACUGGUCCGUGCUACACACUGUAUGUUGAUUUAAUAUCUGAGAAGAAAUGUGUUCCAGAAUGCAAAUACUUGGAUCUGUUUAUGUUAUGCUUUAAAUGCAAAUGAGACCCAACUGUGGAAGUCAAAGAAACACACUUUUAGAAGCAGGCAGCACUGCUAUGUAAAUGUGGCUGUAUGGUGGGAAUUGUCAGAUACAACAGCUUAUAUGAUGUAUGUGAAUGUGUUCAUCAUCAUCAUGAAUUUCUGGUAGCAGAAAUACUGUGACGACUUGCCAAGACUAUCACAGGAGCAGUUCCCCACUAAAGGGGGCAGAGUUUCCUAACCGUUGACUCUACAGUUCAUCCACUAAACAAACAGGCAUAAGUGACUGAAACAGCCGUCUAUCGAUGCUCAUCCACCAAUGCUGUCACCAUUCCUGCUUCCUAAAUGGAUCUUUGCCUAACCCUGCAGCAGGUGGCAGGCAGGUGUUAUGCCUUGCCAAAGGGCAACCCGCGAUUUGGUCCAGGACUGCUAUUCGCAGCUAACCCUCAUAUCUGAGUGCCGUUCCUCUAUCUGUUAAAAUAUGGGCAUUCAGUAUGGGUAUUCAAGGCAUCAGUGAAAUCCAUCUGACUCUAUGGAUCCCACUCCUGGUCACUAUUGAAGGCUGUCUCAAAAAGAAUUGAUGGGACUUAGAGCAGAAUGUUAGGGAUGAUAUGAAUGAUAGGGAUGGUAUGAAACAUCUCCUCACCAACAAGUCACAUCCACGGUGGUCAGCCAUCAUUAGACAACGUAGACCAGCCCUGGACGGACAUGUGGAGACACAACGAAGCAGCUGGUGAUUGUUAUGGAAACCUAAUACUAUCAGAAGGACUGAAGGUUCUAGAAGAAGACACUGGUCUGGAAGGCAAAGAACUUUUGACUGCAACACUUAACAGAGGGAGCUGGAGGAAGAACUUUAUUCAUGUCACCGAUUCCGUCGGAUGAAACUGACAGACUGACUGAAUGUGUGUUUGUCAAGAAUUUACAAAAGAAAACUAUUUCAUCUCAAAGUGAGAAUAGAUUUCUACAAAGUAAUGCCAGUUAACCCUUUAUCGGUCAAGUGAUCAUAUUUGGUAACUUUGGCAUACGUUAAAUAUGGCGUUGCUCCGCCUCUCACUGAGGUGGACAAACAUGUGGUUUCCACCCAGCUAGUCAGUGAAGAUCACUCAAUGUUACAUCACACUAUAUCGUGGCAUCUGACCAAUCAACAGAGGCCUGGAACGGAUCAAACUUUCUCUUUUCUCCAAAGUCUGUGGAUGAAGUGAUGCCCUCAUCAUGACUAGUGUCUACCAUCUGUGGGGGUUAGGGUUAUGAUCUGGGGUUGGUCAGGUUCUCCAACGUUAUGUUCCCAAAGAAUGAGGUCAGCUGAUACCUGAAGAUACUGAAGGACCAGGUCUUUCCAUCAGUGGAGGUUUUUUUUCGUGUUCCAAGAUGAUGAUGCCAGGAUUCAUGGGCUCACACUGAGAAUGAUGGAUCAGGGAGCAGGAGAUGGAUUUUCCUCCACAAAGUCCAGACCUCAGCCCCACUGAGGAUCUUUGGGAUGUUCUGGAGAAGACUUCAGUCCGACUCUGCCAUCAUCAAUAUAAGAUCUUGGUAGAAAAUUAAUUCAUCUCUGGACAGAAAUAAAUGCUGUGACAUUGCAGAACUUAUCGGCCAAUGUGUCGUUCUCAGAGCUAAAAGUGGCCCAAUGAAAUAUUAGAGUGCAGAAUUUUCACUUGACAUUCUUGUCAAAACAGCCUAAUUAAAUUUAACAUGAUUCAAUGUUGAAAAGCAAUAAAUGGGAAAACUUCUGCUUCUUGUUGGUA